rnacentral:tRNA from 1 species
UGAUAAUUAGUUUAAUAAAAACAAAUGAUUUCGACUCAUUAGAUUGUAACUCAUAUUACAAUUAUCAA